AGAGCGAACGCUGGCGGCAGGCUUAACACAUGCAAGUCGAGCGGGCGUAGCAAUACGUCAGCGGCAGACGGGUGAGUAACGCGUGGGAAUCUGCCUAUCAGUGGGGGAUAACAGAGGGAAACUUCUGCUAACACCGCAUACGCCCUUCGGGGGAAAAUUUAUUGCUGAUAGAUGAGCCCGCGUACGAUUAGCUAGUUGGUGAGGUAAUGGCUCACCAAGGCUACGAUCGUUAGCUGGUCUGAGAGGAUGAUCAGCCACACUGGGACUGAGACACGGCCCAGACUCCUACGGGAGGCAGCAGUGGGGAAUAUUGGACAAUGGGCGCAAGCCUGAUCCAGCAAUGCCGCGUGAGUGAUGAAGGCCUUAGGGUUGUAAAGCUCGUUUCGGGUGGGACGAUGAUGACGGUACCACCAGAAGAAGCCCCGGCUAACUUCGUGCCAGCAGCCGCGGU
rnacentral:rRNA from 1 species